CCCAGACAAAGGCAAACCAUUUGAAAAAAUGGGACGCAAAGCUACCGCCUACGUUCAUCAUGAACAAGGCAGUGGGGCUGCCGGG
rnacentral:ncRNA from 1 species